GGCUCAUUGUUCAAGGGGUAUGAAUCUUGCAAAGGGUGUGAGAGGACCGGGGUUCAAAUCCUGGAUGAGCCC
rnacentral:tRNA from 1 species